AUUGAACGCUGGCGACAGGCCUAACACAUGCAAGUCGAACGGUAGCACAGAGGAGCUUGCUCCUUGGGUGACGAGUGGCGGACGGGUGAGUAAUGUCUGGGAAACUGCCCGAUGGAGGGGGAUAACUACUGGAAACGGUAGCUAAUACCGCAUAACGUCGCAAGACCAAAGAGGGGGACCUUCGGGCCUCUUGCCAUCGGAUGUGCCCAGAUGGGAUUAGCUAGUAGGUGGGGUAACGGCUCACCUAGGCGACGAUCCCUAGCUGGUCUGAGAGAGUGAACCGCCACCGUGGAACAGAGACACGGUCCAGACUCCUACGGGGGGCAGCAGUGGGGAAUAUUGCACAAUGGGCGCAAGCCUGAUGCAGCCAUGCCGAGUGUAUGAAGAGGGCCUUCGGGUUGUAAAGUACUUUCAGCGGGGAGGAAGGGGUUAAGGUUAAUAACCUUAGCCAUUGACGUUACCCGCAGAAGAAGCACCGGCUAACUCCGUGCCAGCCGCCGCAGUAA
rnacentral:rRNA from 1 species